CACUAAGAAGCUAAACAGGACCUAGCGUUAGCCUUUUAAGCUAAAGAUUGGUGCUUCCGACCACCCUUAGUGA
rnacentral:tRNA from 4 species